AGAAUCAACGCUGGCGGCGUGCCUAACACAUGCAAGUCGAACGCGAGAGUCCCGCAAGGGACAAUUGAGUGGCAAACGGGUGAGUAACACGUGGGUGACCUGCCUUCGAGUGGGGGAUAACGUCCCGAAAGGGACGCUAAUACCGCAUGACAUCCUGCCUUUGGACAGGCGGAGAUCAAAGCCGGGAUCGCAAGACCUGGCGCUUGGAGAGGGCCCGCGUCUGAUUAGCUAGUUGGUGAGGUAACGCUCACCAAGGCGACGAUCAGUA
rnacentral:rRNA from 1 species